CCUACGGGAGGCAGCAGUGGGGAAUAUUGCUCAAUGGGGGAAACCCUGAUGCAGCAACGCCGCGUGAAGGAAGACGGUUUUCGGAUUGUAAACUUCUGUUCUUAGUGAAGAAUAAUGACGGUAGCUAAGGAGCAAGCCACGGCUAACUACGUGCCAGCAGCCGCGGUAAUACGGAGGUGGCAAGCGUUGUCCGGAAUUACUGGGGGUAACGGGAGCGAAGGCGGGAAGCCAAGUCAGCUGUGAAAACUACGGGCUUAACUUGUAAACUGCAGUUGAAACUGGUUGUCUUGAGUGAAGUAGAGGUAGGCGGAAUUCCUGGUGUAGCGGUGAAAUGCGUAGAUAUCCGGAGGAACACCGAUGGCGAAGGCGGCCUACUGGGCUGUAACUGACGCUGAUGCACGAAAGUGUGGGGAGCAAACAGGAUUAGAUACCCCUGUAGUC
rnacentral:rRNA from 1 species